AUGAAUGCUAAAUAUAAACUUGCUGGAGAUAAGGGUAGAAAACAUGUUGUGUUUGCACCUGGAGAUCUUGUUUGGUUACAUUUGCGUAAGGAUAGAUUUCCUGAUUUGCGCAAAUCAAAGCUAAUGCCACGUGCUGAUGGUCCUUUUAAGGUGUUAGAGAAAAUAAAUGAUAAUGCAUAUAAACUUGAGCUGCCUGCAGAUUUUGGGGUUAGUCCCACUUUUAACAUUGCAGAUUUGAAGCCUUAUUUGGGUGAGGAAGAUGAGCUUCCGUCGAGGACGACUUCAUUUCAAGAAGGGGAGGAUGAUGAGGACAUCAAUACCAUUGUUACACCCACAGCCCCUGCUGCUAUACAUACUGGACCAAUUACUAGAGCUCGCGCACGCCAAUUAAAUUACCAGGUACUUUCGUUUCUUGGUAAUGAUUCUAAUGUUCAUGAGAAUAUGAUGCUGCCUAAAUUGGAUACAUUUGUUUUGCUUACAAAUGAAGGGCCUAGCUUUGAGAAGGAUGAACAUUGGAGUAAGAACAAGCAUGGAGAUGAUGGCAUGCGCAUGGGGAACAAGAACGGAGUUACAAGUGAUGAUUUCAGGACGUUGAAGCCACCAUAA
rnacentral:rRNA from 1 species